GGCCUCAGGGAGCAGAGGAUCUACACCAUGGACCCGACUCCUUUUCUCCUCUGGGUGCUCACAGUCUGCCAAGGGGUCAGUUCUCAGGCUGUGGUGACUCAGGAGCCAUCUCUGACUGUGAUCCCGGGAGGAACAGUCACCCUGACCUGCAGCUCCAGCACAGGGGCGGUCACCUCUGGGCACUAUCCUGCAUGGAUCCAGCAGAAGUCUGGUCAAGCUCCCAGGGGACUCAUCUAUAAUACCAACACUCUUAGUUCAGGGGUCCCUGCCCGGUUCUCAGGGUCCCUGCUUGGGGACAAAGCUGCCCUCACCAUCAAGGGGGCCCAGCCUGAGGAUGAGGCUGACUAUUAUUGUGCCUUGUGGUACAGUGGUCCUAGGCACAGUGAGAGACUCAGAUGGGGAACUGAGACAAAAACCUUCUCAGGCCAUGCCUGUUCCCAGCUGCAGAGGUUAUCUCAUGUCUGUGGAUUCCCAGCUUCUGAGCUUGACAUGGGAUGUUUCUGCACUCAUUCCUUGUGA